GCGGCGGCCGCCAUUGGCCCCGUGCUGCCGGCGGGCGGGCGGGGCGGGCGGUUCAAACGGCAACGGCCGCGCCGGGCGCUGUGGCGGAGCGGUGCUGGGCAGAAGGGCAGGCGCCUGCUGGCCUCAGGAUGUCUGUCAGCAGCGAUGAGGAGAUUCUGAAGUACUACGAGUUGCGCGAAACGAUUGGGACGGGUGGGUUUGCAAAGGUAAAGCUUGGACGACAUCUUCUUACCGGUGAAAAAGUUGCAAUAAAAAUCAUGGACAAGCUUGCGCUAGGGGAUGACUUGCCUCGUGUUAAAACAGAAAUUGAUGCCAUGAAGAAUUUAAGUCACCAACAUAUUUGCCGGUUGUAUCACGUAAUAGAGACAUCCAAGAAAAUAUUCAUGGUCUUAGAGUAUUGUCCUGGAGGAGAGCUGUUUGAUUACAUUAUUUCCAAGGACCGUCUUUCAGAAGAAGAAGCUCGUGUAUUUUUUCGGCAGAUUGUUUCAGCAAUUGCUUAUGUUCACAGUAAGGGAUAUGCCCACAGGGACCUCAAACCAGAAAAUCUGCUGAUUGACGAGGAACAUAAUCUGAAGCUGAUAGACUUUGGGCUCUGUGCAAAGCCAAAGGGAGGCCUUGAUUACCAUCUGAACACCUGCUGUGGAAGCCCAGCGUAUGCAGCGCCAGAGCUGAUUCAGGGCAAAGCAUAUAUUGGAUCAGAGGCAGAUAUUUGGAGCAUGGGUGUACUGCUGUAUGCUCUGCUGUGUGGCUUUCUCCCUUUUGAUGAUGACAACGUCAUGGCAGUCUACAGGAGGAUAAUGAGAGGAAAAUAUACUAUUCCAAAGUGGCUCUCUCCUAGCAGUACGCUGCUGCUUAGCCAAAUGCUACAGGUGGACCCAAAGAAGCGGAUUACAGUUAAGCAUCUGUUAAGUCACCCGUGGCUCAUGGAAGGUUAUUGAGAUGCUGUCCACUGGCAAAGUAAAUAUCCACAGGGACACCUUGACGAGGACUGCGUGACAGAGCUUUCGGUGUUUCACAACCAGAGCAGGGAGAGAAUAUUGGAAUUAAUAUCAGAGUUACAGGAAAUACAGGAAAUAACCUGAAUAAUCUACUUACAGGAGGAAACAGCUUGUCCAGUUAAGUUUUGGCAUUUACACCGUCCUUUACUAGGGGACUUCUAUUGCCUUAUAACUUAUUCAGGCUACUGGUAUUAUGCUGCAAACCUGGCAAGCAUUUUUCUUGCAGUCCUCAUAGCAGUUGUGUUGCUGAAAAUCACACCAAAUGUUGAUUAAAAAAUUUUUUCUUGUUGUACUCCCAAUCAACUUGCUAGCAGGCAGCCUAGGAAGAGGAAAGAACUUCUCCAGUAUGGCCACUUACAAAUAUUAAGGACAUGGUGGCUUACAGUAGACUACAGAAAGUUGAAUGCAGCUACUAAACCAUUGACUGCCACAGCACCCAGUCUGUCUGACAUACCUAAUCUGCUUAAUACAGCAGGAUUUAAAUGAUGGCUGUCGUUGGUGUUAGAGAUAUCUUUUGGUCACAUUACCACGGCAGGAUCAAGACAAAUUUGCUUUGACAGACAUAUGCCAGCAGUACUCAUAUCUGUUAGCCACUCUCACAACUGUUUGCAAUUGCUGGCAGUUGUACUGAUUAUUGUGCUAAGAAGCUACCCAUGAAUGGCCAGGGGUAUAUUCUGAACACAGAGUCCCUGCUAAUAUCAAGAAAAUUCUCAAUUUCACCUUUCCAACCAAAUGGCAGAAGCAUAACACUAGUAGUUACUUGUGGAGUAACUCCCUGCAGGGCCUCAAGGACAGGUACCAGGGUGAGACACCCCAAAUGGGGGUGGACCCCCUGCCCUGUCGCCGUCGGGCAGAGGGAGGGGAU